rnacentral:miRNA from 1 species
GCUGAACCCUAGAGCCUGGCA